GCUUAAAUAUAAUAUUUGGUAAUUUGUUUUAAUUUUUAAAUUAUAAAAUUUUAAUUAUAAUUUUAUAUUUUAUUGGGGCGAUAAAAGUAAAAUUACUAUUAACUGCUUUAAAAUACUACAAAAAUAAGUGAAUAAAAUUAUUAGAUGAUCCUUAGUAGAGAUUAAAAGAUUAAGUU
rnacentral:rRNA from 1 species